AACGCUAGCUACAGGCUUAACACAUGCAAGUCGAGGGGCAUCAGGGUAGCAAUACCGCUGGCGACCGGCGCACGGGUGAGCAACACGUAUCCAACCUACCGUUAACUCGGGGAUAGCCUUUCGAAAGAAAGAUUAAUACCCGAUAGUAUAUUUUCUUCGCAUGUUGAAAAUAUUAAAGAAUUUCGGUUAUCGAUGGGGAUGCGUUCCAUUAGGCAGUUGGCGGGGUAACGGCCCACCAAACCUACGAUGGAUAGGGGUUCUGAGAGGAAGGUCCCCCACAUUGGAACUGAGACACGGUCCAAACUCCUACGGGAGGCAGCAGUGAGGAAUAUUGGUCAAUGGACGAAGGUCUGAACCAGCCAAGUAGCGUGAAGGAUGACUGCCCUAUGGGUUGUAAACUUCUUUUAUAUGGGAAUAAAGUUCUCCACGUGUGGAGUUUUGUAUGUACCAUUAUGAAUAAGCAUCGGCUAACUCCGUGCCAGCAGCCGCGGUAAUACGGAGGAUGCGAGCGUUAUCCGGAUUUAUUGGGUUUAAAGGGAGCGUAGGUGGACUGGUAAGUCAGUUGUGAAAGUUUGCGGCUCAACCGUAAAAUUGCAGUUGAUACUGUCAGUCUUGAGUACAGUAGAGGUGGGCGGAAUUCGUGGUGUAGCGGUGAAAUGCUUAGAUAUCACGAAGAACUCCGAUUG
rnacentral:rRNA from 1 species